GAUCUGGGAAUUUUGCCGUUGAUUCUGCUCUUUUAAUCUAAUAGUUUAUUCUGCCUGCCUUGACUGUACUGUCCCCAGCUACUGGGACUGGCUCCUCCUAUCCCUUGGGUACCAACAGCUGACACAGUUAAGUAAGCUUGUGGGAGGUGAUUGAUCCAGAAGGCUUUUCAUCCUUUCAAGAGAGCAGACAGAGUGACAGAGAACAGGGGUCUCCUGACUUGGUAGUGGCUAAGGUAAAUAUAGAGUCCAUCCAGACUGUUUGACUGCAAAUAAACUAUUGAGUUCCUGGGUUACCUGUUGCUAAAGAGCAUCCAGUUCAACAGAGCUGGAACCAUCAACUAGACAAGGCUGUUGAUCAAACUCUUUCUCGUCCUACUCACUUGAAUGAUGGCCCUAGUCAUGAGCCAAGGUUGCCGGCUCCAUUCGGGAUUCCUCUUCAUCAGGAUGGCAAACAGACAUGGAUGUCUCAUUCAUAGUAAGCCAGCCAAAGGCAAAGUGGGUCCACUGGAAACCAUCAUUGGCUUAACAGUGUUUUCUCUGGCUGUUCUUGGACCAGCUGGAUGGUUCCUGUCCCAUAUUCCAAGCUACAGAAUGAGGUAGAAGACAUUCUUCAGUUUCUGGAAGAUGUGGCUCAUCAGAUCAGCUAUCAACAACCCAUGUCAACUAAAAAUAGAAUGAACGCCUCCAGAUUUUAUCUCUGUUGCUGUGAUUCCUUUAUUUAUUAGCAACAAAGAGGAAUUGCUAGAUGUUAAGGAAUUACUUCACAAGUCUAAAUACCCAUGCUAUUACAGUAGAGUCUCACUUAUUGAAUGUAAGCGGGCCAGCAGAACAUUGGAUAAGCGAAUAUGUUGGACAAUAAGGAGGGACCAAGGAAAAGCCUAUUAAAAAUCAAAUUAGGUUAUGAUUUUAUAAAUUAAGUACCAAAACAUCAUGUUAUACAACAAAUUUGGCAGAAAAAGUAGUUCAAUAUGCAGUAAUGCUAUGUAGUAAUUACUGUAUUUACAAAUUUAGCACCAAAAUAUCACAACAUUGACUACAAAAACACUGACUACUAAAAGGCAGACUGCGUGGGAUAAUCCAGAAUGUAGCAUAAGCGGAUGUUGGAUAAGUGAGACUCUACUGUAUCUUGAUAAUCAUAAUAGCUAGGAGUUAUUUCAGAGCAGAAAAAAGUGCUGGAUUGAUCUUGUUGUUACUACAUGAAAUUUCAAAUUUUACAGACAAAAGUACCAGGUUUAUGAUGUCAAUUAUUUCUAUAGCAGUUCUAGAGAGUUUGCAGUUCUUUGAAUGCAUUUUCUCAGUCAUUUUACAACAACUUCUAUAAGGUUGAUUUGUUUGAUUGUUGCUAAAGGUAGUCAAAUUCCCAGGACUGGGUGGUAUAUUGGACCCUCCAGAACUUAUCAGGAGUUGCACCAAUUCUAUUUGUUGCUCCAGUUCUAUUUGUUGAUAUUAUCCAAAACACCUAGAUGGUGUAGAGGAGUGCAAGAGAUUUUUGUUGGCUGAUUCAGUGGUAGUAUUCUCGGGACGACAGAAAAGCAUGCAACAGGCUACACAGAGAUUGCCUAUUGCAUAGACCAGCAGAAAUGGUUAAAUUCCAGCUCCCACCACCAUGUGGACUCCAAAAUCUACAGGCUUCCCAAAAUAGCUGAAUAUAUGAACUGCAAUUGAAAGUUUUAUAAAAUUGCACAAUUUUCCAUCAAUAAAGUUCACCCUUUUAGUCUGCCAGGAACCAUACCUACUGUGGAAAGGGAAAGUCAAGAAAUCCCAGCCAGCUUACCAGUUGAAGUCCAAAACACCUGGAGGGAUGAAGUUGCCCAUGCCUGCUCUAGAGGAAUGCAUCCAAUACUUAUAGCAGAACUGCUCUGAGCCUGAAGAUAUUCCAGGUGAUGGCGUGGGAUUUGAAGCUCAUCCUUAGAUCAAGAGCUUGGAAAACUAGGAAGUGCUGGCUGGGGAUUCUGGUCAUUGAAAGGUCACAUUUUCAAACUCUUUUUAAAACCAACUCUCCACACCAACAAAUCAUGCAGAAACUCUUUGCAUAAUUACUUCUGAAGAACUGUUAGGCAAUGAUGGCAACACUUAGAAAAUCCAAAUGACAAGCCAUUGGAUUGGCUCAAGCAUGCCUAAGCUCAUGGUUGCUACAGGAAGCAUCUUCCUAUGUUUUGUCCCUAAAACAGGAAAUCUAGUCAGGAUCUAUGGAAAUUAGUAUCACCCAUUUGUGUGGUCAAGAAUGCUCUUCUAUGGCCAACACUGAAGGAGGAUUAAAUUUCUAGUUUGUGUGGCAUUUGUGCAUGGAGAGCUGUUCAGUGGAACAUACUGUCUCAGAGGGUGAUUGGCCCUCCUUCUUGGGAGAACCUUCAACAGAUUGGAUGGCCAUCUUUCAGGAGUGAUUUUGUUAUGGAUAUAUGCAUAGCAUGGCCUAGACUAGAUAGCUUGCCUUUGUGGUCACUUUCAACUCCAUGAUUUUAUGAAUCAGGGGGUAUCAUUUUGGCUUUUGUCUCAGCACAAUAUCUUGGGCUGGGCCUGACAUGUAUAACCUGUUCCGAGAAGAGGCCUUCCUAGUUAUUUAUUAGAUAUGAGAAAAAAUCCCAAAGAUUUCCUUCUUAUAAGUCUUAGUCCCACUCUGUACAGACUCCAAAGCAAUCUAGUAUUCAUCAGACAACACCAAUGAGAUUUUGACAAGCUGAAAACACAAAGGCAAGUACAAACUCUAUCUUGCCAGCAUGAUCACGCAUGAAAUGAAAUACGUGAAUCAUAAUUCCUUGGAGAUCAAAGAGCCCAUUCAUGCACUUCAAGUUAAUGAGCAGACCUAAUUGCUUAGAUUACCGAUUGGGGGCUCAGUUGUAUUUUUCCUCUUGUUUCUCACCCUGCAUCAUUCAGGGAAUGAUGAAAUGAUGUCUCCUAUUUAUUUUUAAGAAAAGUGAUGGUAAUGAGGAGUGAGACGGUCUAUCAGUGACCAUGUAAACAAAGGAUGUAAGCUAGUAUGGUGGGAAUGGCAGGAGGCAAACAUUUCAUUUUAAGUAAAAUGUGGAAAUAUGUUUGAUGUAUCUGGGAAAGUUAGAAUACAUAAAUGUUUAUUUUGAAUAGGAGGCUUCUGAUAUCCGUUGGAGCAGUUGUUUGAAAUAUAGAUCAAAAUUUAAACAAAAGAAUAUUGUGUAAUUUUGCUGGUCAAUCAACCGUGUCAUGAAUCAUUUUUAUAAAACAGGCAGAAGCAGGAAAGCUGCAUCAAUUGUUGCUACUAGUUCACAUCAUUGUCUUCUUCUGGAAAAAGCUCCCCCCCCCCUCGGAAGAAAUAGAAUCAUCAGCUGUCAUGUCAACACUAGUUAGGGGAUUCUGGCACUUGUAGUCCAAACAUUUUCAAGUUCUACUUCAAACUUUUUUUUGGAGAUUACGAUCAGCAAGACAAUUUCAUUAUCUGUCUCUCCCUGUGUAUCAUGGAUAUUUGACCCCAGAAAAUUGCCUAAAAUAUAUAAUAUAAUAUGCUGGGCUAUGAGCUAAAGGUUGGGGCAUUUCAUUAUACAUGUAUUGGUGACUUGUGGGAGGGCUCAGGAAUUUUGGAGUCCAAUACAUCAUUUGAUACAGAAGAUUUUGAAUGUUAAUAUUCAGUUGAUACUGGACUUGUUUCUGUUGAGAUUGAUGGAUGAUGCAAAUAUAUAUGCAGAAACAAAAAAAUAUCACAAUUCCAAUUAAUGAGAUUAGUUGUCGAAACUGGCUGACUUAGAGAAGCUGACAAAUUAUCAACUUUGAUGAAAGAAAGUCAGGGAACUUUUUGUUGUCUUUUUGCAGAAAAAUCUGGAUAACAUUAUCUGUAAGUUUUGAUACUUGUCAGUAUGAAUAUAGCACUUAUAAUCUGAGAAGUUAUUUUAUAUAGUAUGAGGUAUAACAAUAAUUAGAAAAUUCAGAAGUCAAAUGUUAAUUCUUGCUUAUCUUGCUCUGUGCUUUUUUUGGCUUUAUUUUUUCUGUCUACAGUAUAUAUAUAUUCUCUUUUUUAAUGUACCCGAAAGAAUCUAAUAAAACAUAUCAUGUUUGAACUGAAAAACAACAACACCCCAAACUGCUAAAUGGUAAAUCAAUACUAAUGUAAACUCCACUGUUUCUGUUUGGUAAACAUAACUGGGAUUUAUUAUGAAUUUUGGCCAUAACCACCAAACAUAACUGAGAAGUUAUGUUAAAUAUUCCUUUUUAUACCUUGAUUUAUAUUUAAUAAUAUUAAAUUAGCCAAAGCUGCUAGAAUAAUAUUAUAGUUUUAUUCUAACGAGCUGAGGACUACUACUUGUAUCCAUGGUUUGUGUAAUCAUACAUUUCUACAGAUGAAUACCAAGUAAUGAUCUUAUUUAUCAUGAGAAGACAAGAGUCAUUAGAACAGACAAUAACACUUGGUAAAGUGGAAGACAAUAGGAAAAGAGGAAGACUACAGUAUAUGUGUAUAGACUCAGGCUGGAUCUACACUGUCAAGGAUGCCACAUCACUGAUUUGCAAGACCUAAAGGCUGUUGAUAGCAGGAUGACUUUGACAUCUUUUGUUCAUAGAGUUACCAUAAGUCAAAGUUGACUUGACAGCAAUUAACAACAGCAAAUGACUGUAAUCCUAUUAAAUUAAAUUUCAGGAGUGACCAUCUUAAUGUGUUGUCAUAGGAAUAGAUAGAAUUAUAUGAUAAUUAUGUGAUCUAAUGAUCACAAAUUAAUUUUUUGAGAAACCUUUAUCUGUUUUCAUGAAAGAAACAUAAGCCACCUAAUACACUCAGGCCAGGGCUGGCAAUCUUUACAUCAAGAGCCUGAUGGUACAAUAGCCAUGUUUGUAUAUCUGAAAGGAUGCCAUAUUAAAGAUGAAGCUAAGUUGAUUUCUGCUAUUCUAGAGUAAGACAUGGAGCAAUUGAUUCAAACUACAGGAAAAAAGUAAGGAAAACAGUAAGAAGAACUUCAUGAUGGUCUGAGCUGUUUGAUAGUAGAGACAGUAGACUAUGUUGUCUUAGAAUGUGAUGGAGUCUCCUUCUUUGGAGUUCAUCUAUCAGGAGUGCUUUGAUUGUGUAUUCUUCUGCAGCAGAGGUUUGGACUAUAUGGGCCUUGUGGUUUCUUUCAACUUCAUAUUUCUAUAAUUGUAUGACUGAUGAAGAUAUGGCCAUAGCCCAAAGCAAUGGGAGGCCAAAGUUAAAAAAGAGCACAGAAAAGCUUUUUAUUUUUGCUUGUCUCAGUCAACCAAGACGGGGUAACUAAACUUUUAGCUACUGGCGUGGGUGGAGAUGAGGACACUGAUCCUGAACAAGAAUUCUGUCCCUGAAUUUUUCUCAUAUCCUCACAUUUCUAGCAAAGCAGUAACUUAAUACUUUAGUUGAGCUUUUAGAAACUCAUUUGAGGCAUUCCAAGAGUUUGAAGGGCCUCAUCACAAAGAUCAGGUAAAGUAUCUCACUUUGCCUGGCUUUGGGGAGAAAAGAGAGCUCCCUCUUGGCAACACUUUCCCCAUCACAAGGGGGAAGCGUUGCCCUUCUGCUGAGGACCUGGGAAGCCUCCUGUGUUGUGGGGAAAGCCUUCAGCGAUGUCUUCAUUCCUGUUGGGGGCAGGGCCUCUGCUGGAAGUCACACAAUGUUACGUGAUGGCUGGUGUGGGGCUUUGUCCUAGAAGACAGGGUGAAAGCAUCCUACCGUGUUUCCCUGAAAAUAAGACAGUGUCUUAUAUUAAUUUUUGCUCCCAAAGAUGCUUUAGGUCUUAUUUUCAGGGGAUGUCUUAUUUUUCCAUGAAAAAGAAUUCACAUUUAUUGUUGAACAAAAACAUGAAAAUUUAUUAUAUACUGUACAGUAGCUGUCAUCACAAACCAGAAUAAUCAGACAAACUGUGAAUCCUAUCAAGAAUUUCUUGUUACUACCACUAUUUCCAUGUACAACUAUCUAUGGUACAUACAUUUACCGAUCCUGCAUGCUCUGGUGUUCUGUUCAGUGAGCAUGCUUCCAAACAAAAACUUUGCUAGGUCUUACUUUCGGGGGAGGCCUUAUAUUUAGCAAUUCAUCAAAACCUCUACUAGGUCUUAUUUUCUGGAGAUGUCUUAUUUUAGGGGAAACAGGGUAGGGUGCUUUUUAGAUAGAUGUGAUGAGGUUGUAGGUGUGAACAAUUUUCAGUGUCUUACUUUCCACCACGUUAGAGAUUUGGAGACUAAAAUAAUAUAUCAUGAGGCAAAGAAUUCUUUCCACUCCGUAGCUACACCUAGAGGAUACCUAUCCUCUUUCUUUCUGAACACCAGCUACAUUGGUUAUUGAUUGAUGGCUGGGACCGAUGGGAGCUAGAAUCAAACCACCUCUGGAGGUCCACAAACCCUCACCCUUGAUCUAGAUGCAUCCUUUCAACAUAUGCUAGACUGUACAUUCUUCACUAUUGGCUAUGUUGAUUAGCAUACCAAUAGCAUCCUGAGGAACACAUGAGUCCCACACCUGAUCUAGAAGCUAUAGAUGUGCUGAUACAAUCUUCUGCAUGUUUAUCCUUGGCUCAGUGCAAAAAUAUAUUCAUUUAAAAUAUUUAUAGCCUAACCUUCCAACCCCUACGGAUUACAAGGUGGUUAGCGGAAAGCAAUGAAACACAGCAAUCUGAAAAAAACCCCAAAAAACCAAAGGGUUGUCACAAAGAGGAGUGCAAAGACUCAUUCUCUGUGCUGAAAGGGGGAAAAUUUGAUCUUGUGAGUUUAAGUAACAGCAGCCUAGAUUUUGGUUGGACUCUUGGGGAAAUGUAAAGAUAAUAAGGGGCAAUUUGACUAAGGAAAUGGUUGCUUAGGGGGAAGAUGGUCUGUAUGUCUCUGGAGAUUUUCAAGGCGAGGUUACUUGCUAGGCUAUCAGUGUUUUAACAAAACACAGUCCUAAUCUCUGUUAAACAUCAUGGGUUGGCACUGCCACACUCAUAAUAAGACCCAUGUUUCCAUAGAGUACUAUGAGAUGCCUUCCAACUAUUCUGAUUUGGUAGAGAAAAUUACAAUUAAUUAUAUGUCAUCCCACUUUUAAAACUUAUUUUAAAAUGUCCCAGUUUCUUUCUUGUCUUUCUACUUUUCCCCUUUGCCCUCAAAAUUCUUCUAUGGCUGUAGAAGUACCAUACUUUGCAUUUAAAUAACUCAGCAGGUAGGAGAGGAGGGAGUAAAAUCUUGCAUUUCCCUGUAGACUCAGGCAAAAGUAAACUACAAUAGCUUUUCUUCGCUUAUCUGUUCUUCCUCAUUAUUACAUUUUGUCAUCUCAACCACACUGAUUCUGCUUGAGCACAUCUCCUUGUUUUAACUUGGGCAAUGUUGGAGAGUGUGCUGCCACCAGUUGGAAUAUCCUUAUGCUCAAGAUCUUUGCAGGAUCUAUUUAGGAUACUUAAAUAAAGUUCAACUCUGUGAGGUUCACCUGCCCCUGAAAAUACUACAAUGUAAGUGAGCUUCAUGUAUGAAACCCUGCCAGGUAUUUUAAGGCCUUAUUAUUCUCCCAAGCAUUUAAGGACUGUUUCAUAGUUUGUGUGCUUCAAAUUCUUAUCCUGCUCUUGAUUUUAAUUUGGUUUCAGAUGCUGAAAUCUUUUAUUCCCAGUUGAGAGUUUCUCUUGGUUUUAUUUUUGACUUCUUCAGUCGUGUAUUAUUGAUGCAGUUCAUAUUUUAGAAGACUGCACACUGCAAAGAGAAUUCUGGUUAGUGGGUGGUUUAAAAAUGCAAUAAAAUAAAUGCAUGCAUAAACUCACAAGAUCCACGACUGGUGCCUGACAUGAGAGGCAUACAUUUAGAAUUAAAGAAUACUAAGCCCACGAAUUGAGUACCCAAAGGGACCCCAGCUCACAAUCCCUAUAUACAAGAAUUCACUUUUUCAAUGUUUUUGUUAAACAUUGGGGAAUCAAAAAUCCUUGAGUGUAUCGGCACUGUAGAAAUAAUGUAGUUUUACAACACUCCUAUGGUACAAUGCUAUGGAAUUAUGGGAUUGGUUGUUUGAUAGCAUCAGUAUUCUUGGGCAGAAAAAGCUAAUGCCCUUGUAAAACUACGACUCUCAUGAUUCCAUGACAUUGAGCCAUAGCAGUUAAAGUGGCACAGUGUAGAGGCACCCCUUACUGAUCUACUGCAAAAGACUGAGAAGUCUCCUAAUAGAUUUUGAUUUACCUUUCAACUUUCCUAGAAUAAGCUUACUAUCUAUUGUAUUGUAUUGAGAAGAGAAGAUCCAAAUAAUCUUCUGCUUUCUAAUCAAAACACAAUUGGAAGAAAUAGGGCAUCCGGAUGUUAUAUAAAGUACAAAUAUUUUCACUCUCUAGAUUGUAAUAACUAGGGCAAAUGUUCUAAAAAUGUUUUUUGUUCAGGGAAACAACACCAAUUUGUUUAAAGAUGUGGCAUUUUGCAUCUUUGCUACUGGUGUGUGUGCAUAUGUGCCUUCCAGUCACCUGUAGACUUAUGGCAAUGCUAUUAAUUUCCUAGGGUUUCCUAGGCAAGGAAUACUCAGAAGUGGUUUUCCAAGUUCCUUCUUCUGAACUAUAAUCUAUAGCACCUGGAAUCUGUUAGCAGUCUUCCAUCCAAGUACUAACCAGAGCUAACCCUACUUAGCUUCCAUGAUUAUAUAGGACAGUGGUUCUCAACCUGUGGGUCCCCAGAUGUUUUGGCCUUCAACUACCAGAAAUCCUAACAGCUGUAAGGUGGCUGGGGUUUCUCCUACAAGGAUGGUAAAAACAUCCAGGCAUCCCCUGGGCAACAUCCUUGCAGACAGCCAAUUCACUCACAACAGAAGCAACUUGCAGUUUCUCAAAUCGUUCUUGACACACACACAAAAAAUCUCCAACCCCUUCAAAAUCUAGCUGAAGAAUUGGAAAAAAUUAGCAGUCCCAUUUCCAAACUCUUGAAAAAUCUAGCUCUCCUAUCUUCAGCCUCUUGGGGAAAAAAGAAGCAGAAAAUUAAGCCAGGAGCAAAGUUUCUUCUAAGAGACAAAAUGUUUCUAUAGAUCUCUUAGAUGUCCUUCCCUAUGUUAACAUCCGGAAACUUUCUCAUAUCAUCUUAAGGCAAGGAUGAAUCAUAACAUACUCUUUUUCCAUUUCUAAUCAGCCGCCUUGCAAGCUGUUCUGAAAAGAUCAUAUCAGGUUAUAGUUACGGCAACAAAACAGACAGUUCAAAGCACACAUUACGUUACUUUUUCAGUAUAAAGACAGACUUUCAUGUUUACUGCAUGCAAAGCCAACAAAUGCCAGUGACUUGUGGUUCCUGUUGCUGCAAAUAUUGCUUUCUAAUUAUGCAAAGGAUCAAUGGAUUGUUCACUGGAUCAAUAUAUUUUAUUAAACAAUGAUUUUGAUAGUUUGUAAGUUCAAGGUACUUUAUGUAUUCCUCCUGUACAGCAGGAAAAGCAGUGGAGGACAUCAUAAUAGGCAAAAUUACCUAAGGAUACAGGAGCAUCUACACCAGGCAUGGACAAACUAAGGCCUGGGGGCCGGAUGCGGCCCCCUGGGCGCUCACCUCAGGCCCUCCUCAUUUUCCCUGUCCUCUUGGCAUGAAGCCACAAUGGCCCACCACAUCCUUAUGCAUAAAGGAUGGGGGAGAAAGGCAUGCAGCAGCUGAGAACCCUUUGGAGUGCUCUGAGCCACUGCAUGUCUUGCCCUCCUCCCGGCAUAAGGACUUUAUGAGCAGCCCUGUUCUUAUGCUGGGAGCACGGCUUGAGGAAGGCACACUCCAGGGUGCUCUCAGAUGUCACCUGCCUCAUUCUCCUCCCAGCAUAAUACUGAGAGGACAGCCCGGAUAUUGAGGGGGAGUAUUGGGGAGGAAUUGGGGAGGAAGAUCAGGGCAGUCGCACACUUGUCUUGUUUUCCUCCCGGCAGAAUGAUGUGGUGAGCAACCCUGUCCUUAUGCCACAAUGAAGCCCCAAGGCAAAAAGGUUUGCCAUGCGUGAUCUACCCUGUAGAAUUAAUGAAGUUUAAAGCCACUUCAACCGCUAUGGCUUAAUGCUGUGGGAUCACAGGAGUUGUAGUAUUGCAAGGUCUUUAGCAUUCUUUGCCAAUGAGUGGUGGUGCCUCACCAAAAGACAACUCUCAGGAUUCCAGAACAUUAAGCCAUGGCAGUUAAAGUAGUGUCCAGCUUCAUUAAUUUUACAGUGUAGGUGCACCCAAGUCAUAAUGAAUUCUGGAGAAGCUUCAUAAGGAUACAGGUGCAUAGACGUGCAUGGAAUUGUGAAAGUCCUUGAACACAGAAAAGUGUGAUGAGAUUUAGCUGGGAGGCAUCAUUUUACCUGGUCAUCUUAUUCCCUCUCUGCCACAUUCUUUUUCAGGAUUCCUGGAGCUCAGCCAAUCAAGAGUCUGGCUGAGGACAGGGGGAGAAUGAACUUGUUUGGCUUGUGAUGUAGGCUACAUUUAAUUUUUCCAAAUCUUCUUCAGCAUUUGGGUUCUUGGUGCCUUCACUUUUGCCCUUCCUUAAGAAUGCACCCAGUUUUCAGGGAAGGUUCAUCACCAAUAGAGUCUCCUGAAGGGGUUCUGAGGAGUCUACCUCCCUCUAUUCCAGUCCAAUAUCUCUUAGAGUCAAUAGGUUCUAAAGUUUAGACAGAUCCUCUUUCCUUGUCAUUUGAAUCCACUAAUUUUCUGUUCCAGAGCAGCAGAAAACAAGCUUAUUCCAUUUCCUAUUAUCUUCCAUCUUUUCAGAUACUUAAAGAAGGCUGUCAGGUUGCCUCCAAAUCUUCUUUUGUGCAUGUGAAACAAAUCUAGCAACCUAGAUCAUUCUUCAAAAGGUUUUGUUUCUAGAUCUUCAAUCAACUUGGUCAUCCUUCCCUGGAUAUGUUUCAGUUUGUCAGAUGGAAGUCCAAUAUCACUAUUAGAUGGCAGGGAAAUGUCUAGCAACUUAAAGCCAAGUAGAUUCUGUGGCUGUCAUUAGGUGGGUCAAAAAGGGACUGAUGCUCAUGUGGCUAUCAGGCCAACGCUGUUCAUCUGUUUCCAGUCAUACUUUACAUGCUUAUAGUAUUUUGACUUCCUCUGUCAAAUGACAGAACUUCACCACUGAAGAAAUACAACCAGAAAAGAGAGAGAUCUCGGCUCUGUUUCCAGUUGAGAAAAUGCAGAGCAAGGGAAACAAUGUGGGGUAUCUUGUAUCCAUUGCUUUGAAUGUAGUACCUAAUUGGUUUUUUUUAAUGUUUUGUUGGCUUGGCCCAUACAAAUAAAAAGAUAGUUCUGCAA